rnacentral:rRNA from 1 species
UACGUAGGGGGCAAGCGUUAUCCGGAAUUACUGGGUGUAAAGGGUGAGUAGGCGGCAUGGUAAGCCAGAUGUGAAAGUCUUGGGCUUAACCCGAGGAUUGCAUUUGGAACUAUCAAGCUAGAGUACAGGAGAGGAAAGCGGAAUUCCUAGUGUAGCGGUGAAAUGCGUAGAUAUUAGGAAGAACACCAGUGGCGGAGGCGGCUUUCUGGACUGAAACUGACGCUGAGGCACGAAAGCGUGGGGAGCGAACAGG